rnacentral:rRNA from 1 species
GACGAACGCUGGCGGCGUGCCUAAUACAUGCAAGUAGAACGCACAGUUUAUACCGUAGCUUGCUACACCAUAAACUGUGAGUUGCGAACGGGUGAGUAACGCGUAGGUAACCUGCCUGGUAGCGGGGGAUAACUAUUGGAAACGAUAGCUAAUACCGCAUCAUAUUAAUUAUUGCAUGAUAAUUGAUUGAAAGAUGCAAUUGCAUCACUACCAGAUGGACCUGCGUUGUAUUAGCUAGUAGGUGAGGUAACGGCUCACCUAGGCGACGAUACAUAGCCGACAUGAGAGGGUGAUCGGCCACACUGGGACUGAGACACGGCCCAGACUCCUACGGGAGGCAGCAGUAGGGAAUCUUCGGAAAUGGACGAAAGUCUGACCGAGCAACGCCGCGUGAGUGAAGAAGGUUUUCGGAUCGUAAAGCUCUGUUGUAAGAGAAGAACGGGUGUGAGAGUGGAAAGUUCACACUGUGACGGUAUCUUACCAGAAAGGGACGGCUAACUACGUG